rnacentral:rRNA from 1 species
AGAGUUUGAUCCUGGCUCAGGACGAACGCUGGCGGCGUGCCUAACACAUGCAAGUCGAACGGAGAAUUUCUCUGAGUUUACUUAGAGAAAUUCUUAGUGGCGGACGGGUGAGUAACGCGUGGGUAACCUACCCAUAAAGCCGGGACAACCCUUGGAAACGAGGGCUAAUACCGGAUAAUCUUAGAUGUUGGCAUCAACGUUUAAGGAAAGGUGGCCUCUGUAUAUGCUACCGAUUAUGGAUGGACCCGCGUCUGAUUAGCUAGUUGGUGGGGUAAAGGCCUACCAAGGCGACGAUCAGUAGCCGGCCUGAGAGGGUGAACGGCCACACUGGGACUGAGACACGGCCCAGACUCCUACGGGAGGCAGCAGUGGGGAAUCUUCCGCAAUGGACGAAAGUCUGACGGAGCAACGCCGCGUGUAUGAUGAAGGUCUUCGGAUUGUAAAGUACUGUCUUUGGGGAAGAAUGACGGAUUUGAAAAUAUUGAGUCCGUAUGACGGUACCCAAGGAGGAAGCCCCGGCUAACUACGUGCCAGCAGCCGCGGUAAUACGUAGGGGGCAAGCGUUGUCCGGAAUUAUUGGGCGUAAAGGGCGCGUAGGCGGGUAUUUAAGUCUGGUGUGAAAGAUCAGGGCUCAACCCUGAGAGUGCNUCGGAAACUGGGUAUCUUGAGGACAGGAGAGGANAGUGGAAUUCCACGUGUAGCGGUGAAAUGCGUAGAUAUGUGGAGGAACCNCCCNGUGGCGAAGGCGACUUUCUGGACUGUAACUGACGCUGAGGCGCGAA